rnacentral:snoRNA from 1 species
AACCCAUGGUGAGGGCAUUGUCUUAAGAGAUCCUUGUAUCUCUCCCAUGCAUCGUAGAGUGUCUCUAAAUUCAUCUGCACAAAAGAAAAGAUAUCAAUACGUAAUUU